CACACACUAUUUCUCUUUCUAUUCCUCGUUAGAUCUCUCUUUCCCUCUCUCUAACUCUCAUGUCCUUCUGCAUAUCCAUCAUCAGUUCACUGGAGUUCAUUGUCAUCGUCGACCUCACCUCGGUGUCUUCUGUCGACUGAAGAUCUGAACGGAGUUUCUCCGUUCAAAGAAUCUCCUUUUCACUCUUCAGGUCUACUACCUCUGCUUUUACUCCUCCCACCACUGGAAACAAUCUCUGACCACUUUCCUCCUCCUUCCGUCCACCACUUCUACCUCUUCCGACGAUGAACAACGACUUACUGAUCCAUUGUCCUUAUCUGUCAUUUCAUCGACAACGAAUCCUCAAGCUAAGAGAUCGACGUCGUUCAUUUUCAUCUUCGAUUGCAACAGUAAUCGUCAAAUCACAUUUGUAGAUCACUUCGAUCUGGCGAGGGUCUCUAUCUGCCUAACCUCCGAGAUCAGAUUUUUAUGAGCUUGAAUCUCACUUUAAAUUUGGUAUCUGUUGAUGAAAAUUUAGGUAUCAUCUGUUUCUAUUGUUCAAUCCUUAUCUUUGUUUGAAAUUUAUAAAUUGUUUUUGCCUAAUCAUUAAUUUGAACCUAUUUAGUUAAUAAGUUUUUAAAAACAGUUAAAUCACUGUGUUGAUUGUAGGUAUAAAAAUAGUCACAUGUGUUAUUGAAAAAUAUAGAUAUUUGUUUGCACUCAACAUGUUCGAUGAAAUGCCUCAAUGAGAAAUAUCACAUGUUAACUUCACUUUGACUUCAUGAAUGAUGAACCAAUUCCAAUUUAGGAUUCUGUCCAAGUCAACAUCAGAAAUGUCGAUGAACUCGUUGCCAAUAAAGUCAUCACAUGGGUACUAACUACACCAUUCUACCUAAAGUGGCUGAAAUUUGAGUUAUUGUUUUUUUAGUGCUGUAUGACUGGAUAACUCUUCAUGAUAUUCAUCAAAUAUGUUAAAAGGUUAGUGUCUUGAUAGAUUAAUCCUAGUUUUUUUACUAAAUUUAUUAAUACAUUAUGUCAAGAUUAAGAUUAAGUAAAAAAGAAAGUCAUAAUAGCUGUCUGGAUUGAUUUAGUAAAAAGAAAAGGAUCAUAAAUCAAUGAAACUUUGUAAAAAAGAGAUAUCCUGUAAAUGUUUGGAAUGGUUAUGGUUGCAACAUAUUGAGGUAUUGACACCAAUGGAGAAACUCAACUACUAUGUUGUCCAACAAAAUCUGAUCUUGCUUUGGUUUUUUGAUGUAAUAUAUUCAAGCAAUUAUUAAAAUGUUGAUCAUGGAUAUUUAGCAAGUUCUUAUCAUUCUGGAACAAUAUCUGGAUUUAUGCUCUUGACGUCAUCUGGAACAACAGUAAGAACUUUUGCAAUUUUUUUUUUCAUUUUGGAAUUGGAAUAAAAAGACAUACUUUUCCAGUUUAGGGAAGUUGUAAUUGAUAUUGGUGCUCUUUUCAUUUAUAUUUUUCUAAGUUGGUGUUGUAUUGGAAAGUAAAGAAGUUGAAUCUUUGCUUACAUAAAAAUUAAGAAACAUUAUGUUGGUAAAGAACUAUAACCUUUUUGUGUUGUUUUGUUAUAGAAAAAUAUUCCAUGAUCCAUUAAUCUUAUUUUUUUCAUUACAGAAGUACAUUUCUGAAAGAGAUUAUGAGCAAUUGUUUAUUUUAUUAUUGUCGUGCAAUCUGAAAGUAUAUAAAAAUCAUAUAUUUCAUCCAUGUAACAGAAUUUGAGAUUUUUCUUGGAAGUUUUGAGUGAAAAUUGACAUGAGACAUUGGUGGAUCUAUUAAUCGUGAGAUAGCUUAAUUAUUAUUGAUUUGAUUGGCUGAUGCAAGAUGAAUUUGUUUAUGUUUAUUUUAUCUUCUUUUCUAAUAGGAGCUUUUGGAGAUUUUUAAAGAACUGGAUGAGUAAUUUUUUCGGGCUGUGAAUUCUGGCGGAAAAUGUUGGCUUUGUUGGAGGUUUUGACUUGCACCUUUCCUAACGAAACACCCUCAGAUUUUGAAGAAUUUGUGGAAAAAAUUGAAGAUGUGAAAAAUGAUACAUUGAAGAAAAUAUGGCAAUUUUAAUAUUAAGAAAUGACAACAUUGUGAAUCUUUGUACCAUUUUUUAUUUUUUAUAUUUUAUUUUGUAUCAAAUAAAAUUCUUGUAUUAUUAUGUUUAAAGAUUGAUUAAUUAAAAUUAGAUUUUUUACGAUUUA